AGGGAAUCAGGUAACUCCCCUAAGGAAGUAAGAGAUGGACAGUAGUCCACUGAUAAAAACUCAAGAAUAAAUGUGUUUUUGCUACAGCCAACAUUCAUCUCAUCCUUUGGUCUCUUUGAAGAGGAAAGAGAAGAACAAUAUCCCGCACCCAGCAAAUUCUGCAAACUCUUGCAAGAUAUGAUCUGCAGUCUUUUUAGGGUUGGAGGUAGUUGGCCUCUUCCAAGGGAGACCAAAGAAUCACAGCUUUCAAUUUCCAAGUGUUCAAGAAACUUGCUGUCAAUCACCGCAUCUGGUAAAGAAGUUAUAGCAUUGCAGUUACUAAUCCCAAUCACUCUCAACAUGGAAGGAAAACCAGCUUUUGGAAAAGAAACAAUUCUUGGGCUGUCCUCAAUUAUAAGCUCCCUAAGGGACACAAGGUUA
rnacentral:misc_RNA from 1 species